rnacentral:rRNA from 1 species
UACGUAGGGUGCGAGCGUUAAUCGGAAUUACUGGGCGUAAAGCGUGCGCAGGCGGUUUUGUAAGCCAGAUGUGAAAUCCCCGGGCUUAACCUGGGAAUGGCAUUUGGGACUGCAAGGCUUGAGUGCGGCAGAGGAGACUGGAAUUCCUGGUGUAGCAGUGAAAUGCGUAGAUAUCAGGAGGAACACCGAUGGCGAAGGCAGGUCUCUGGGCUGACACUGACGCUGAGGCACGAAAGCGUGGGGAGCAAACAGG